rnacentral:tRNA from 1 species
GGUGGGAUGGCAGAGUGGCCGAAUGCGCUGGUUUUGAAAACCAGUGUCGGUGAAUAGCCGACCGGGGGUUCGAAUCCCUCUCCCACCGCCA